UGGGGAAUUUUGCACAAUGGGGGAAACCCUGAUGCAGCGCCGCCGCGUGAUUUAGAAGGCCUUCGGGUUGUAAAAUUCUUUUCUAUGGGAAGAAAAUGACAGUACCAUAGGAAUAAGGACCGGCUAAUUACGUGCCAGCAGCCGCGGUAAUACGUAAGGUCCGAGCGUUGUCCGGAAUCAUUGGGCGUAAAGGGUACGUAGGCGGGUAAGCAAGUUAGAAGUGAAAUCCUAUAGCUCAACUAUAGUAAGCUUUUAAAACUGCUCAUCUUGAGGUAUGGAAGGGAAAGUGGAAUUCCUAGUGUAGCGGUGAAAUGCGCAGAUAUUAGGAGGAAUACCGGUGGCGAAGGCGACUUUCUGGCCAUAACCUGACGCUGAGGUACGAAAGCGUGGGUAGCAAACAGG
rnacentral:rRNA from 1 species